rnacentral:lncRNA from 1 species
UUAUGCCUUUACCACUUCAAACCGGAAAGGUGUUGCAACAUAACAGUUUUAAUUGCUAAACCCUAGCUGCAAACCCAAAUCUCUGGAUUUAAUAAGAAUUGGGUGUGAAAGACUGUGAACAGUGGCAGUUUUCUGCCAGGUUUACCUUCUUUCCUGCUCUUGGUUGAGAUUUGCGGACCUUUGUAUCCACUGUGGUCUCCUUGGAACAAGCAACUGGAAAUUCUUCACACCAGCUAUGGCUGGUAGGAAUUUCGGGCCACAACUCAGGGUCAUAAUGGUGAAGAGGAUGGUGACAUCCAAGGACAACCACAGGGCCUCUCUCCUGACACUGGUGAGAACCAGAUUCCUUUCCCUGGUUCUGUAGCUCCCAGCAGAGUUUUGGAAGCUGAUUAAAGAGAAUGUUGGAAAUAACAGGCAAUUAGAAACCU